GCCUUCGUGGUGUAGUGGUCAGCACCUUCGACUCGUAAUCGAGAGGUCCGUGGUUCGAUUCCCGGCGAAGGCG
rfam:Stegodyphus mimosarum contig104229, whole genome shotgun sequence.